rnacentral:rRNA from 1 species
GGCGUGCUUAAUACAUGCAAGUUGUGCGAGAAAGCUUCCUUCGGGAAGUGAGUAGAGCGGCGAACGGGUGAGUAACACGUAAGGAACCUGCCCUCAAAUCUGGAAUAACCCUGCUAACGCGGGGCUAAUGCCGGAUGUGGACACGGGAUCGCCUGGUCCUGUGUUUAAAGGUGACCUCUUCUUGAAAGUUACUGUUUGAGGAUGGCCUUGCGGCCCAUUAGCUUGUUGGUGAGGUAACGGCUCACCAAGGCUUCGAUGGGUAGCCGACCUGAGAGGGUGAUCGGCCACAUUGGGACUGAGAUACGGCCCAGACUCCUGCGGGAGGCAGCAGUAGGGAAUUUUGCGCAAUGGACGAAAGUCUGACGCAGCAACGCCGCGUGAGGGAUGAAUGCCUUCGGGUUGUAAACCUCUGUUGAGUGGGAAGAACCGGAGUAUGGCUAAUAUCCAUAUUCCCUGACGGUACCACUCGAGGAAGCCCCGGCUAACUACGUGCCAGCAGCCGCGGUAAUACGUAGGGGGCAAGCGUUGUUCGGAAUCACUGGGCGUAAAGGGAGUGUAGGCGGAAGGGUAAGUUAAGAGUUUAAGGCCCCGGCUUAACUGGGUGCACGCUCUUAAUACUGCUUUUCUUGAGUAUGGGAGAGGGUGAUGGAAUUCCAGGUGUAGCGGUGGAAUGCGUAGAUAUCUGGAAGAACACCAGUAGCGAAGGCGGUCACCUGGCCCAAUACUGACGCUGAGGCUCGAAAGUCGGGGGAGCGAACAGGAUUAGAUACCCUGGUAGUCCCGACCGUAAACGAUGGAUACUAGUUGCUGGGAGAGUCAAUCCUUUCAGUGACGAAGCCAACGCAUUAAGUAUCCCGCCUGGGGAGUACGCUCGCAAGGGUGAAACUCAAAGGAAUUGACGGGGGCCCGCACAAGCGGUGGAGCAUGUGCUUUAAUUCGAUGCAACGCGAAGAACCUUACCUGGGUUUGACAUGGGGGUGAAACUCUUCAGAGAUGAGGAGCCUUUCUUCGGAAACACCCUGCACAGGUGCUGCAUGGUUGUCGUCAGCUCGUGUCGUGAGAUGUUGGGUUAAGUCCCGCAACGAGCGCAACCCCUGCCCUUAGUUGCCAGCGAGUAAUGUCGGGAACUCUAAGGGGACCGCCUGGACCAACCAGGAGGAAGGUGGGGAUGACGUCAAAUCAUCAUGGCCCUUACGCCCAGGGCUAGACACGUGCUACAAUGGCCGGCACAGAGGGCUGCGAAACGGCGACGUGGAGCUAAUCCCUUAAAACCGGUCUCAGUUCGGAUUGGAGUCUGCAAUUCGACUCCAUGAAGGUGGAAUCGCUAGUAAUCGCGGAUCAGCAUGCCGCGGUGAUACGUUCCCGGGCCUUGUACACACCGCCCGUCAAGCCAUGAAAGAUGGCAGUGCCCGAAGUCGCUUUCCCAACCGCAAGGAGGGAGGCGCCGAAGGUAAGGCCAUUGAUUGGGGCUAAGU